UACGUAGGGUGCAAGCGUUAAUCGGAAUUACUGGGCGUAAAGCGUGCGCAGGCGGUGAUGUAAGACAGAUGUGAAAUCCCCGGGCUCAACCUGGGAACUGCAUUUGUGACUGCAUCGCUGGAGUGCGGCAGAGGGGGAUGGAAUUCCGCGUGUAGCAGUGAAAUGCGUAGAUAUGCGGAGGAACACCGAUGGCGAAGGCAUCCCCUGGGCCUGCACUGACGCUCAUGCACGAAAGGCGUGGGGAGCAAACAGG
rnacentral:rRNA from 1 species